CACGUAGGGGGCAAGCGUUGUCCGGAUUCAUUGGGCGUAAAGAGCUCGUAGGCGGUUCGGUAAGUCAGGUGUGAAACCUCCAGGCUCAACCUGGAGACGCCACUUGAUACUGCUGUGACUGGAGUCCGGUAGGGGAGCGUGGAAUUCCUGGUGUAGCGGUGAAAUGCGCAGAUAUCAGGAGGAACACCAGCGGCGAAGGCGGCGCUCUGGGCCGGUACUGACGCUGAGGCACGAAAGCGUGGGGAGCAAACAGG
rnacentral:rRNA from 1 species